rnacentral:rRNA from 1 species
GACGAACGCUGGCGGCGUGCUUAACACAUGCAAGUCGAACGGAAAGGCCCUGCUUUUUUGGGGUGCUCGAGUGGCGAACGGGUGAGUAACACGUAAGUAACCUGCCCUUCACUUUGGGAUGACUUCAGGAAACUGGGGCUAAUACCGGACAGGAGCUCCUGCUGCAUGGUGGGGGUUGGAAAGUUUCGGCGGUCGGGGAUGGACUCGCGGCUUAUGAGCUUGUUGGUGGGGUAGUGGCUUACCAAGGCUUUGACGGGUAGGCGGCAUGGGAGCUUGACCGGCGACAUGAGGACUGCGAGAGGGACCAGUCGCGAACGUGAGGCAACAGUGGGGAGUCUGGCACAGUGGGCGCGAGCCUGAGGCAGAGGCGCCCCGGGCGGGAUGGCGGCUUGCGGGGUGAGAACCGCUUUCGCCUGAGACGAAGCGGGAGUGACGGUACUGGAGAAAGAAGCACCGGCUAACUACGUG